rnacentral:lncRNA from 1 species
CACGGCUUCUUUGGGAUCACUGGUGGCACGUAGAUUGGUGGAUGCUCUAUCUUCGGUGGCGGCUUGUAGACCGGAACCGGUGGUGGAUCGACCUUCGGCGCUUUGGGCGGGCAUGGCUUCUUCGGGAUCACCGGUGGCACGUAGAUUGGUGGAUGCUCUAUCUUCGGUGGUGGCUUGUAAACCGGUACUGGUGGUGGAAGCUUGAUCUUUGGCGCUUUAGGCGGGCACGGCUUCUUUGGCGGCUUGUGGAUUGGUACCGGCGGUGGAAGGACUAUUUUCGGCGGCGGCUUGUGGACUGGAACCGGUGGCGGAUCAACUUUCUUUGGUGGCAUGGGCGGACAAGGCUUCUUAGUCGGUGGUUUGUGAACUGGCACUGGCGGUGGAAGCUCAAUCUUUGGCGACUUAGGCGGGCAUGGCUUCUUGGGGAUUGUUGGUGGCUUGUGUACUGGAACCGGAGGUGGGUGCUCUACCUUUGGAGGUGGCUUGUAAACCGGAACCGGAGGUGGGUGCUCUACCUUUGGAGGCGGCUUGUAAACCGGAACCGGAGGUGGGUGCUCUACCUUUGGAGGCGGCUUGUAAACCGGAACUGGAGGUGGGUGCUCUACCUUUGGAGGUGGCUUGUAAACCGGGACAGGUGGUGGAUGCUCCACCUUUGGAGGUGGCUCGUACACUGGAACCGGAGGUGGUGGGCAAGGUUUAGGAAACGGUGGAAGCUCCAAAGGUGGAGGUAGAGGGAAAGGGUGAUCAAAUCCCUUAAAAGGAGGGAACUUAGGCAUAGGCCAAAAGAAUUUGGAAACACAAAGUUCAGGUGAAAAUUUGAGAUUUUGUUUGAGACCCAAAACGUGUUUGUCUCCAGAUUUGUAUAGAAACACGAUCUGGUUGGACUCUAGGCCGUCAUGAGCCGGGCAAGGUGUUCCUACCGCGCUAUGAAGCUGAGCAUAACACUCCUCCUUCAAAGCUCCGUCCUCGGAGACAAUGUCAUGAGUAGGAACUUUCAGACCGAACUUUCCGUCUUCAUCAAUGUUUCCAGAAGCUUUUGUAACAAAAUGCCCUUUAUUCACCUUACAGUCAAUCGUCACUCGGAGUCCUUUGACAAGUAACAACCACACUUAUCAAAUAACUACAAAAAAAUGACACUAGAUACCACAAAAUGUUAAUAUUAAUGUGGUAUACCUGAGAAUGCAUGGGGGGUUUUGAUCUUGCUCUCGGCGUUACCAACAACUUCGACGACGCGAGCGAGAGAUAGAGUCGCUGAAAAGACAACGGACAGGAGGAGAAGGAGGCAUGGAACCGAACCUCGAGGUUCUGGUAAGAUCCUCAUUGGGAUUCUCACCCUCUGAGAUUUUUUGACACAGUACUACGACACUUUCCUUUCCGGAAAAUGUAGUUUACAAGAAGAAAGAAACUAUAUGUUAUAUGAUUUGAGUAUUAGUGAAGAAGAUGAUAUGAUUAUAGCGAGACUCCCUCUCGUAUAUAUAAUGGUCUUAUCAUAGCAAUUUUCAAAAACGGAUCUUGAUUAUUACUUCUUAAGCUUUCUUAUUUUAUUUUUUACCAACAAUAAUUGGGACUCGGUGGUUUCUUUUAUUUGGUAUCAUUUAUUUAAAUUAUUAUGUCAUGGUCCAUCUCUUAUCGUUGUAAUUUCCGUCUACGGCAAUAAUUUUUCAUGCUUUUCAUGCAGGGUGGUUGAAACAAUUUGACUAAUCUGUUUUAUUUAUUUAUUUAUCUUUAUUCGAAAAUGCAUUCAGGUUUACCUUUUUGUUUCCAUAAUUAACGCUAUUGCACGAGACACAUUGUAGAACUUUCAUCACAUGAACCUUUUGAUCUAUAAAUUAAAAUGUUUUUUUUCCUUUGUGAUAUAUACAGCCAAUAACAAAAAAGUAAUGCAGAUACUACAAGAUGACCAUGCAUAUAUAUGAUAACUUUUUAUUUGCUUUUGUUUCACACACACGAUCGAUAUAGUUUAUGUAAAAACAUGAAAUGAAUUAAUGAGUGCAUAUAUACGUGCAACCAACCCCGAAUUGAAGCGAACCAGAUUAUGGUUAGAAGAGAAACUUUAAAAUAUGUGGAAAAAUAGUCACACUGCUUGUGCUACUUGUCCUGGCCCCUUCUUUAGUAACUAAACCAGUGUGCCGUAUAUAAAUCAAAAUCAGAUACACAGUCGAAUUUGUCCUCAAGAUCAUCAGGAUCUGUCUUGGAAGGCUCAGCUGCUGUUUUAUAAAAUGUUAUUAAUAAAACUAAUUUUUAUCUAUUAUUAUUUAUUUUUAUUCAUUUAUGUAUUAUGUAUAUAAUUAAAUUAGAGUAAAGACAUAAAUCAAAACAAUACAUCUUGUUUUUUUAUGAUACUUUUUUGGUAAAUUAAUCAAAACAAUCAUUUAUUUAUUUUAUACGGUAUAUAACUAAAUUUCAAUGACAUAGACAUAGAUAUAUAGUAUAAUUUAACAUAAAUAUUUAUUAUUGAGAAUUCAUACUCAUAUGAUAACACAAAAUUUCUAAUGUGCGAUUUUUUGAAUGCAAAUUUUAAAAUUAAAAUAUUAAGGUUUCAAUACUUUUUCAAUACAAAUUUAGAAAUUAUCUUAUUUAAAUAUUUUACUACGUUAUAUAGUUUAAUUUUAAACUAUAUUAAUAUAUAAUAUGAAUGUUUAGUAAAUGAGACUUUAUAUUCAUACGAUUUAGGGUCAUUUGUAUCUUGUUAUUACCAAAAAAAAUUAAACCUUUGAUCACAAAAUUUUAGUGUGACACAUUUAACGCUUUUCGUAAUUUAUAGUCGUUUUAAAAAUUCAAAAUAUAACUUAUAAGAAAUUAUUUUUUAUUAUCUGAUUUAUAUGGUUGUUUAAUAUCUUUUAAUAAUAUAAAAUUAAACAAAAAAGAACAAAGAUACAAAAAUUAUUAUCAAAUAUUUAUUAUUCAUAAUCAUUGAUUGUCAUAUAUAUGUUACUCAUAUCAGGCAAUUCCGUAGCUUUUAUUUAAGGAAAGUGCGAGAAUAUUUUUUGUACACUAUUUAUCAAUUUAAUAGUUAGUUUAAUAAAAAUUAUAUCUUAUAUAUUAAAACAUAAGUCACAACCUUGAUUCAUGUGUGAUAUUUUAAAAAAUGGACCAUUACUAGAAAAUCAUAUUUCAUUUAUUUCUUAAUAACAUUUUGACAUCAUUACUAAAUCACCUCAUAUAUUAUUGACUAUAAUAACUACUUUCGUAUAAGAUUUGAAGGAAGUCAUUAAUGUGUAUUUUAAGAAUCUUGAUCCGUGCAUUUCAAGUUUUAAAUUAUCUGAAAACACAUGUAUACAAAAUAUAAAAUAUACUUCUAAGAUCAUUACUUAUAUUCGUCAAACCAGUAAUCGUUAUCUAAAGUCAAAUUUAAUAUUAUAAAGAAAUAUAAACAUAUCUUAUGUAUUUUUCCAAAUUAACCAUAUAAACAAUCGUACAUAAGAAACUAACUUAUAAGCUAUUGCAUAGUAUUUUUUCUGUUUUGGUCAUAGUUUAUGAUAAACAUAUAUAUAUAUCACAAGUACUUUUUUUGUUUUGGUGAUAGUUUAUGAUAUUUAUAUUUCUAUUUUAUUGUUAAUGUAUUUAUUUCUAUUUAUUUAUAAGUAAAAUGUAUAAAUAUAGUUGUUUAGGUUAGUUGGUUAAAUAUAUUAAUUUUUUUGUGGUAAAAAUGUAAAGAAAUAUCUUAAAUUUUAAUAUUAUUAAUAUAAUUAGUUAAUAUAAUUCAAUAAUCACUUCAUUUUUUUUUAACAAAACCAAACCAUUUGGAUUGAUAAAACUUUUAACCAAAUGGAUUACUAGAAAAUCAUAUUUCAUUUAUUUCUUAAUAACAUUUUGACAUCAUUACUAAAUCACCUCAUAUAUUAUUGACUAUAAUAACUACUUUCGUAUAAGAUUUGAAGGAAGUCAUUAAUGUGUAUUUUAAGAAUCUUGAUCCGUGCAUUUCAAGUUUUAAAUUAUCUGAAAACACAUGUAUACAAAAUAUAAAAUAUACUUCUAAGAUCAUUACUUAUAUUCGUCAAACCAGUAAUCGUUAUCUAAAGUCAAAUUUAAUAUUAUAAAGAAAUAUAAACAUAUCUUAUGUAUUUUUCCAAAUUAACCAUAUAAACAAUCGUACAUAAGAAACUAACUUAUAAGCUAUUGCAUAGUAUUUUUUCUGUUUUGGUCAUAGUUUAUGAUAAACAUAUAUAUAUAUCACAAGUACUUUUUUUGUUUUGGUGAUAGUUUAUGAUAUUUAUAUUUCUAUUUUAUUGUUAAUGUAUUUAUUUCUAUUUAUUUAUAAGUAAAAUGUAUAAAUAUAGUUGUUUAGGUUAGUUGGUUAAAUAUAUUAAUUUUUUUGUGGUAAAAAUGUAAAGAAAUAUCUUAAAUUUUAAUAUUAUUAAUAUAAUUAGUUAAUAUAAUUCAAUAAUCACUUCAUUUUUUUUUAACAAAACCAAACCAUUUGGAUUGAUAAAACUUUUAACCAAAUGGUUUGGAAAUAUAUUUUUGUUUGGUUUAGAUCGGAUUGAGUUUGGUUGGGUCGGUUCGGUUUGGUUUGGUUCAUUUUUUUUGCCCACCCUAUUCUUGGCCCAUUUAUAAGAUGUAUAAUGUUUUAAUAGAUAAGAUUUAUAUAUUGUUGUAAAGACUUAUUUAAAUUUGUAUAUGUUUGAAUUACAUUACAUAUAAACUUGUAUAAGAUUUGAAGGAAGUCAUUAAUGUGUAUUUUAAGAAUCUUGAUCCGUGCAUUUCAAGUUUUAAAUUAUCUGAAAACACAUGUAUACAAAAUAUAAAAUAUACUUCUAAGAUCAUUACUUAUAUUCGUCAAACCAGUAAUCGUUAUCUAAAGUCAAAUUUAAUAUUAUAAAGAAAUAUAAACAUAUCUUAUGUAUUUUUCCAAAUUAACCAUAUAAACAAUCGUACAUAAGAAACUAACUUAUAAGCUAUUGCAUAGUAUUUUUUCUGUUUUGGUCAUAGUUUAUGAUAAACAUAUAUAUAUAUCACAAGUACUUUUUUUGUUUUGGUGAUAGUUUAUGAUAUUUAUAUUUCUAUUUUAUUGUUAAUGUAUUUAUUUCUAUUUAUUUAUAAGUAAAAUGUAUAAAUAUAGUUGUUUAGGUUAGUUGGUUAAAUAUAUUAAUUUUUUUGUGGUAAAAAUGUAAAGAAAUAUCUUAAAUUUUAAUAUUAUUAAUAUAAUUAGUUAAUAUAAUUCAAUAAUCACUUCAUUUUUUUUUAACAAAACCAAACCAUUUGGAUUGAUAAAACUUUUAACCAAAUGGUUUGGAAAUAUAUUUUUGUUUGGUUUAGAUCGGAUUGAGUUUGGUUGGGUCGGUUCGGUUUGGUUUGGUUCAUUUUUUUUGCCCACCCUAUUCUUGGCCCAUUUAUAAGAUGUAUAAUGUUUUAAUAGAUAAGAUUUAUAUAUUGUUGUAAAGACUUAUUUAAAUUUGUAUAUGUUUGAAUUACAUUACAUAUAAACUUAUAUUUUAAUAAUAUACCUUCAAUUGUAACUUAUUAAAAACAAUUAUCAAUGUUUUUUGUUUAAAAUUCGUUAGUUCAUUUUAUCAUAUGUUCUAAUAACUAAUACUAAAUGCUUAAAGAUUAGUGUAUACGAAUGUUUUUAAUUGUAAAAACUAUCAAAUAAAAUUUAUCAAAUAAAAUUGUUUAUUAUUUAAAAAUUAAAUAAAAAAAUAAAUGUAAAUUUAAUUUUGAUAAUAAGAUGUUAAAUAUAUUUCUAUUUAUUUAUAAGUAAAAUGUAUAAAUAUAGUUGUUUAGGUUAGUUGGUUAAAUAUAUUAAUUUUUUUGUGGUAAAAAUGUAAAGAAAUAUCUUAAAUUUUAAUAUUAUUAAUAUAAUUAGUUAAUAUAAUUCAAUAAUCACUUCAUUUUUUUUUAACAAAACCAAACCAUUUGGAUUGAUAAAACUUUUAACCAAAUGGUUUGGAAAUAUAUUUUUGUUUGGUUUAGAUCGGAUUGAGUUUGGUUGGGUCGGUUCGGUUUGGUUUGGUUCAUUUUUUUUGCCCACCCUAUUCUUGGCCCAUUUAUAAGAUGUAUAAUGUUUUAAUAGAUAAGAUUUAUAUAUUGUUGUAAAGACUUAUUUAAAUUUGUAUAUGUUUGAAUUACAUUACAUAUAAACUUAUAUUUUAAUAAUAUACCUUCAAUUGUAACUUAUUAAAAACAAUUAUCAAUGUUUUUUGUUUAAAAUUCGUUAGUUCAUUUUAUCAUAUGUUCUAAUAACUAAUACUAAAUGCUUAAAGAUUAGUGUAUACGAAUGUUUUUAAUUGUAAAAACUAUCAAAUAAAAUUUAUCAAAUAAAAUUGUUUAUUAUUUAAAAAUUAAAUAAAAAAAUAAAUGUAAAUUUAAUUUUGAUAAUAAGAUGUUAAAUAUAAAAUAAUUUUAAUUUUUUUAAGAAAGUAUAUAUUAGUUCUCUAAUAAUUAAGUAGAAAUCCAAUAAAAUAUAUUUAUAAUAAAAAGAAACAAUAAUACACUUGGUGGAUUCAUACAAUUAAUUUAAUAGAAAAAAAUGUAAACAACAAAAUUAUUGGAUUUGAAAAAAAUAAUAUAAACAUUUAAAAUAUAUACAUAAAAGUGAAAACAUUUGCGCGGUUGCGUGGAUCAAGAUCUAGUUAUAAGUUAAGAUGGAUCAACCAAUUUCUUAAAAAAUUUUAAAUUUUAUUCUCAUGGUGACACGUGGCUACAAAACAAUUUUGCAAUAUUUCUCAUUUAAUAUAUAAGGAUGUUACAAGUGGACUUACUCAUACAUGUUGAGAACAUGCCAAGUCCGAUUCGCACAUUCAGAGACCUAACUAUAAAUGAGUAAAAUAAAAUUUCCCGGGAUAUUUAUGUAGGAAUACCAAACUUACAAAUGCAGAUAGUAAAAAUUAUUUUGUUGUAUUGUUAGUCAAGUUAUACUAUUAGAGAUAUCAUUAUGAAUUACUGCCAUAUUAAAUCUCUACCUACUCAACCACGCCCAUUAAUACGGUGGCUUUGGACAGUUGGAAAAUAAGAGGUUCAAGUCGAAAGAGAGUAUAAAAUCAAUCUUCCGGUGUAAUGUCUUCAGAUUAAUUAAAUACUUGCACCUUAUCACCAACAAGUCCCAUUUUUAAUGUAAGAACAUGUAAUAAAUAUAUCAUUAUGUAGAUCGAUGAGUAUAAUCGAUUGGGGUACAUCUCAAGCGACUAUGCUUCCAUAUAUAUAUAUAUAUAUACUGUAAAUGUAAAUGUUCAUUUACAGUCUCUCAAACAAAAAUCAUUUACAGUUAUAAAAUUGUUUGGUAAAUAGAUUUUGCAUACAAAUUUCAAAUUUAGUCCCCUAAUCAGUGCCAUACAAAUACAAUAUACAUCCGAGAAAAACCAGGGCAUAUUUCAGAGAUCAUAACCAAAUUUAAACAGUCAAAUUUUAUACAGAAUGUAGGAGAUAAAAAUAUAAGCGGAUGUUUUGAUCAAAAAAAAAAUUGAUAAAAAAAGAUAAAAAUAUAAGCGGAUACAUUUUAUUGUAUGUUAAAACACUUCGGUAACUGGUAAGUAAACAAAUUAAGCGACGGUGAAAAGAUUGAUCACUAGAAACAAUAGUAGUAGUAUAUAAGGAAGAUAAACCCUAACCUAUGCAGCAGCGCAAUAAAUGUGGGUUGUCAAUAAAAAAAAAGUUGUGGCAACCAAGGAUAUAGUCCCACAUGGUGUGAGUUUUGUGAUAUUAUUUUUAGUAGGUGAAAUGCGAUAAAUAUAUGAACUGUAUAUGGUUCCACAUUAAUUGAGCAAUUGGAAUUGGUUUCGUGUAUAUUAAAAAAAAAACGAAAUGUUUUAUAAAAUAUGAGACGUGCGUAAGAAAAUAUCCAGAGAUCUGGAUAGUGACAUGUUCUCUGAGCAAACAGCUUUAUCGUUUAUAUAAACUCACACUGUCACACAUAUGUUAGAUACGUGUUGAAUGUACUAGUGGAAGUAAACACAAAGGUUGAUGUCCAAAGUAGUUGGACAGAUGGUUUGGACAAAAGUGAAACAAUGUUGAGACAAAAUCUUAUUCGAUAGAUAGCGCUUCUGAAUGAUGUCACCAUGCCCGCAACUAAUUCAUACCCACACCGAAGCUAAUAAUAAGAUUUGAACUCAUACGAUUAUGGGCCUAAAGAUAUGGACUCAACCACGGCCCAUUAAGGCCAAGAAAAGUUUAAAGCACAAGUCAACCAGAACCAGACUCUUUUAUCUCCUUCGGCUUCCUCAUAAAUAGUUUACCUUUUUUUUUCUCACUUUGCCGAGAAAAUCUGAGAAAAAGCGAAAAGUUGAGGAUGAAAAGUCCGAUUCACACGGUGUGGUCAUGGGUGAGGAGGCAGCCACCGAAGGUGAAAGCCUUUCUCGCGGUGGUCACCGGCAUGGCGGCUCUGGUUCUGCUCAGAUUCAUUGUCCACGAUCACGACAAUCUCUUCGUCGCCGCUGAAGCUGUUCAUUCAAUCGGGAUCUGCGUGCUCAUCUACAAACUCAUGAAGGAAAAGACAUGUGCUGGUAAUAAAAAUUCAAUCUUUCUUGUUUAAUUGUGUGUUUUCGAACAUCCCAAUUUUAGGGUUUUUUUUUUUGAAUUAGCUUUUGUGGAAUCAAGCAAUUUAGGGGUUUUAGGAUUACAAUUAUAAUUCGAAGGUUUAGGCAAACCCACAUCCGAAAGUGUGUACCUUUUUUGCUUGACUUUUGUGUAUUGAUUCUUUCUUUGCAGGAUUGUCGCUGAAGUCUCAGGAGCUGACGGCGAUAUUUCUAGCUGUGAGGCUGUAUUGCAGCUUUGUGAUGGAAUAUGAUAUACACACCGUUCUGGAUCUGGCUACUUUGGGGACGACUCUCUGGGUUAUUUUUAUGAUCCGUUUUAAGUUGAGGGCUAGUUACAUGGAGGACAAAGACAACUUUGCUCUCUAUUAUGUGGUAUGUCAAUAAGAAACUGAAAGCUUACAUUGUUAGAUUAGAGGAAACGGGCAGUCAAAGUAACGAUUAUCUGGUUUUGAUUUUUUAUUUGUUGCAGCUUGUGCCGUGUGUUGUGUUAGCUGUGUUGAUCCAUCCAUCGACCUCUCACAACAUAUUGAACAGGAUUUCGUGGGCGUUAUGUGUUUACCUUGAAGCUGUUUCAGUGCUGCCUCAGCUGCGAGUGAUGCAGAACACCAAGGUCCCCAACUUUAUUUCACAAUGGGAAGAUUGAGAACUUGAGCUAGAGGUAUUUGUUAUACUCUCUAAUCUCUGAAUCUAUUUUUUUGGUUGUUGUUUUCAGAUUGUGGAACCGUUCACGGCGCAUUAUGUAUUUGCACUUGGAGUAGCAAGGUUUCUUAGCUGUGCUCACUGGGUUUUACAGGUUAGCUUUCUAGUUUUUACUCUGGAUACAUUGAAAGUCGAUUUUGGAUGAUGAAAAGUAGCCUUGUGCACAAUGUUGUAUGUGUUUAAUAACAGGUUGUGGACACGAGGGGGAGAUUGCUGGUAGCGUUAGGUUAUGGAUUGUGGCCAUCAAUGGUUCUCAUCUCAGAAAUUGUUCAGACUUUCAUCCUUGCUGAUUUCUGUUACUACUAUGUCAAAAGGUACCGUUUAGUGAUCGCUAUCUUACCUCUUUAUUUAUUACACUACCUAGCUGAAAACAUGUUAACUUGUGCAGCGUUUUCGGAGGGCAGCUAGUUCUCCGGCUUCCGUCUGGAGUAGUAUAAAGUUACUCUCAGUGAUGUAAUACGGAAAGGAGACGGCUCAAUUUUUUCUUUACAUUUGAUCUUGACGUUUGUGUCUGAGGUGACUUGGUAACGAAUUAAUUUCACUGUGUUGUAUAUUUAGUUACCAUCGAUGGGUGUUUACAUGUCUUUCCGGUUACUUUACUCCCUUUCAUACUAUAAUAGUGAUUGGUAAAAAGCAAAUAACGAACCUUAACAAGCUAUUUUGAUCACACUGGGAAGAGGAAACGUCUGAAAGUUUUGAAGUUUUAUUAUUAUAGAUCACUGGAAGUGAGUCUGCGAAUACGAUGAGAAUCACGGUUGUUACAUAUAAAAAUAGCACAAGUACAGAGUUAAAGGUCUGAAAGGGUUUUCCCAUGGAUGAAGUUGAUCACUUUAGUGGCAGUUUCCUCUAGCGCAGAGGUCACAACAGCCAAGUUCUGUAAGAAUUCUUCUGCCGUCGGUUUGUCUCCGUCGAUCAGAUCGGUCACGGCUUUUAAGAAUAUGACUGGUACUUUCAGAAGUUCAGCAACAUAGGCCACCGCAGCACCCUGAACAAUCCAGAGCCACACAAGAGUUUCAACUAAUAUUUUUAUAUUCUUGCUAGAUUCCAGAAAUCAGAGAGGUGUUAACAUGACAUUACCUCCAUGUCCUUUAGUGUAGCAUCAUUGGCAAUGAUCAAUGAUUCAUCUUGUGUGGACAUAUCCAAGGAAUCACCAGUAGAUAACCUGCCAAUCUGAUUACAACCAAUCUUAUUAACAAUGCUUUUGAUAUCGUAAAACUUGAGAAACAGUUUUUGACUAAGCAACCUUCAAAUUGAGUUCCUUGAGGAGAUUGGGGGUUGAGAAUGCCUGACGAAGACCAACUCCGUACAGAUCAAACAUCUACAAGCGAGACACAAAACAGUCCCUCAGGAACUUGCGAAAUGAAAUGGGGAAAAAAGACCAGAACAAGAAGUGGAGAAAAGAAGAAGAAGGUACCGGAAUAGGUAUUCUCCUAUCAUGGAAGACAACAUCAGAUACAAGGAAUACAUCUCCUAUGUUGGCUCCUUUAACCUGAAUAUUGUUCAGCCAAUCAGCAAUCAGAGAAGCAAAUUCAAAUAUGAUCAAGCAUGGCAUUCUCACAAGCACAGAGAGAGAGAAAG